rnacentral:lncRNA from 1 species
UGGAAAUGAAUAGUAACGGCCUGUUCGGAGAAGUUUUUGCUGUUUUGCUUUUUCUAGAAAAGCAUUUGUUAAAGCUUUUCUAGUAAGACAAAGCAUUUUCACUUAACAAGACUCAAAACUACUACUUAGUCUCAGAAACGACUUUUUGAUUUUCAAAAGCCAUGCCAAGCAAGCUCUAAAACUCGUAGAAGGAGAGGAUUAAUUUCUUUACUUUUUUCUUUAGAAACUGAAAAAAUACCAAAGAGGAAGUGCAUAUUUUGGAUAUUUCAGCACAGGAUACAACCCAAAAUCCUAACAUCAAAUUUGAAAAAUGAAAAAUAAGCAAGCCAUAUAUGUAACAAAAUUACUUUGAAACAUAGACAAGCCAACUUGAUAGCAAUAUGACAAAAGUGGAGGGAAAAUAGAGCUGAUAUCAAGAAUGUGGGAAUUGAUAUAGCAUUCGCUUUAGCUUUUAGCAGUUUAUCAACUACUUACCUUACUGUGCAAAUCUAUUUAGCCUUAUAUUUGGAUUGUAACAUUAAGGUACAUGCAUAUUAAUUAUCUCUUGAACCUUGCUCUAGGAAAGCAGCAUUAAGGGUGCGUAUGGUACACCAUACAGGAUUAGGGUGGUUAGGUGUAGGAUGAAAGUUCUGUGUUUAAUGGUGAAACACCGGCAUUAAGGGUGCGUAUGGUACACCAUACAGGAUUAGGGUGGUUAGGUGUAGGAUGAAAGUUCUGUGUUUAAUGGUGAAACGCCAUAUUGGAAAAGUGUAGAAGUAUUUAAAAAUAAAAAUUUAUAACAAUAUUUUUAGCUAAGCUUAAAAAAAGUAAAGUUACUUAAUAAGUAACUAUUUACAAACAUGUUUUCUUGAAAACUUGCCUGGAUAACUCACUUUUCUUUAUUUUAAGUUAAAAAUUAAUGUUUUUCUAAGAUGAGCUUAAAAAUAAGAUGUUACAUUUAAUAACUUCUUUGUCUACAGUAAUGUUUGGAACUUGCUUUUUAAGUAAGAAAGUUUCUUUUUAUAAGUACUCUUAAAAAAAAUAAAAAUGUAAACUAACAUUUGUCCACAAACAUCUUUGGAUAACUUUUCUCCUACUCUUACGUAAAAAGGUUACUUUUUUUUUUUUUUUUAAAGCAAGCAUAGGCCUCAAAUGGCACUUAAGGCAUGAGGCAUUCAAUGGAAGUUUUAGAUGAGACAGGACUUCAAGCGUAAGCCUCAAAAAUGUUUUUAUGAACAAUAGAAAGGCACACAACCUCCAUUUGACAUUCCGAUGGGCUACCACACCAGCAAUAGAUUUCAAUCAUGUACAUCAUCCAGCAUGAGUUGAGACCAGAAAAUUUUAAUGAUGUUUCAAUUCUUAAUAUCUAUUGGCCUAAGCACAUCAAACUUCUAAUGACUUCUGGUUCAGGACUUCGUAAAUUCACCUAUAUGUUUCCCCUGCAUACAUUUAAGCUUCAAAGGAAAACUACAAUUAAUAUUAAGUGUGAC